UGCUCUGUGCGGUUUUGUCCGAGCGAUUACACGAGUUGGGUCCCAUGAGGGGUGUUUGGCGCAUGCCUCGUUGACAUUUUAUUGCCUCUGGGGCAGUCAAAUCGUUGGAGAAACACUUGUGCAAUGCCACGGUGAUAGUGCCGUGGGUCCUCUUGCAGUUGUUGUCGGCUCUUGCGGAUGUGGCGUUCCCGAUAAGUGCUGUCGGCCAUCGGACCACAGCUUUGAAAUGUCYCCCGUACGGAUUACCGGUCCUUCGAUCGCCCCUCAUGUCGGUUCUGCCUUCAUGUCGGGGUGACGCGUGGGUUGCCUUUCUGAUCGAAAUAACAGCGAUUGUGGGCUAUGGUGCUGCACGGGCGUCCCCCACCCCGGGGUUGUUCCGGAAGCAACGUGCCGACUCUCGUAUAAGACGUGC
rnacentral:misc_RNA from 1 species